UUGUUUAAAUUUACUUAAACUCCGACGCGGUAAUGCAGUGUUCAAUGGCCUCCGGGGGCGCUCGCCGACGCGAAUCGGCAGGGUCGCCCCCGAAGCAACAAGACGGGUUCACAAAGGGUUGGAGGUCGGACCCGGAGGCCCUCGCUCAGUAAUGAUCCCUCCGCAGGUUCACCUACGGAGA
rnacentral:misc_RNA from 1 species